AUUGAACGCUGGCGGCAUGCCUUACACAUGCAAGUCGAACGGCAGCACGGGUGCUUGCACCUGGUGGCGAGUGGCGAACGGGUGAGUAAUACAUCGGAACGUACCUUAUCGUGGGGGAUAACGCAGCGAAAGCUGUGCUAAUACCGCAUACGCCCUGAGGGGGAAAGCGGGGGAUCGCAAGACCUCGCGCGAUUAGAGCGGCCGAUGCCUGGUUAGCUUGUUGGUGGGGUAAAAGCCCACCAAGGCGACGAUCAGUAGCUGGUCUGAGAGGACGAUCGGCCACACGGGGACUGGGACACGGCCCAGACUCCUGCGGGAGGCAGAGGUGGGGAAUUUGGGACAAUGGGGGCAACCCUGAUCCAGCAAUGCCGCGUGAGUGAAGAAGGCCUUCUGGUUGUAAAGCUCUUUUGUCAGGGAAGAAACACCGGCUCUAACACAGUCUGGGAAUGACGGUACCUGAAGAAUAAGCACCGGCUAACUACGUGCCAGCCGCCGCGGUAA
rnacentral:rRNA from 1 species